rnacentral:rRNA from 1 species
AUUGAACGCUGGCGGCAGGCCUAACACAUGCAAGUCGAGCGGAUGAAGGGAGCUUGCUCCUGGAUUUAGCGGCGGACGGGUGAGUAAUGCCUAGGAAUCUGCCUGGUAGUGGGGGAUAACGUCCGGAAACGGGCGCUAAUACCGCAUACGUCCUGCGGGUGAUACUGGGGGAUCUUCGGACCUUACGCUCUCUGAUGAGUCUAGGUCGGAUUAGCUAGUUGGUGGGGUAAAGGCCUACCAAGGCGACCAUCCGUAACUGGUCUGAGAGGAUGAUCGGUCACACUGGAAGUGAGACGCGGUCCAGGCGACUACGGGAGGGAGCAGUGGGGAAUAGUGGGCAGUAGGCGGAAUCCUGGUCCAGCCAGGCCGCGUGUGUUGAGGAGGUCUUCGGAGUGGAAAGCACUUUAAGUUGUGGUGAAGGGCAUUAAGUUAAUACCUUGCUGUAUUGACGUUACCAGCAGAAUAAGCACCGGCUAACUUCGUG